rnacentral:rRNA from 1 species
AGAGCGAACGCUGGCGGCAGGCUUAACACAUGCAAGUCGAGCGGGCGUAGCAAUACGUCAGCGGCAGACGGGUGAGUAACGCGUGGGAACGUACCUUUUGGUUCGGAACAACUGAGGGAAACUUCAGCUAAUACCGAAUAAGCCCUUACGGGGAAAGAUUUAUCGCCGAAAGAUCGGCCCGCGUCUGAUUAGCUUGUUGGUGAGGUAAUGGCUCACCAAGGCGACGAUCAGUAGCUGGUCUGAGAGGAUGAUCAGCCACAUUGGGACUGAGACACGGCCCAAACUCCUACGGGAGGCAGCAGUGGGGAAUAUUGGACAAUGGGCGCAAGCCUGAUCCAGCCAUGCCGCGUGAGUGAUGAAGGCCCUAGGGUUGUAAAGCUCUUUUGUGCGGGAAGAUAAUGACGGUACCGCAAGAAUAAGCCCGGCUAACUUCGCGCCAGCAGCCGC